rnacentral:rRNA from 1 species
GUGGGGAAUUUUGGACAAUGGGCGCAAGCCUGAUCCAGCAAUGCCGCGUGCAGGAAGAAGGCCUUCGGGUUGUAAACUGCUUUUGUACGGAACGAAACGGUCCGGGUUAAUACCCUGGGCUAAUGACGGUACCGUAAGAAUAAGCACCGGCUAACUACGUGCCAGCAGCCGCGGUAAUACGUAGGGUGCAAGCGUUAAUCGGAAUUACUGGGCGUAAAGCGUGCGCAGGCGGUUUUGUAAGACAGGCGUGAAAUCCCCGGGCUCAACCUGGGAAGUGCGGUUGUGACUGCAAGGCUGGAGUGCGGCAGAGGGGGAUGGAAUUCCGCGUGUAGCAGUGAAAUGCGUAGAUAUGCGGAGGAACACCGAUGGCGAAGGCAAUCCCCUGGGCCUGCACUGACGCUCAUGCACGAAAGCGUGGGGAGCAAACAGGAUUAGAAACCCCGGUAGUCC